UGGGGAAUAUUGGGCAAUGGGCGCAAGCCUGACCCAGCAACGCCGCGUGAGGGAAGAAGGCUUUCGGGUUGUAAACCUCUGUCCUUGGUGACGAAACAAAUGACGGUAGCCAAGGAGGAAGCCCCGGCUAACUACGUGCCAGCAGCCGCGGUAAUACGUAGGGGGCGAGCGUUGUACGGAAUUACUGGGCGUAAAGGGUGCGUAGGUGGCCUUUUAAGUUGGAUGUGGAAUACCCGGGCUUAACUUGGGGGGGGCAUCUAAGACUGGAGGGCUAGAGUGCAGGAGAGG
rnacentral:rRNA from 1 species